UACAGAGGUGGCAAGCGUUGUUCGGAAUUACUGGGCGUAAAGGGCGUGUAGGCGGUCUUCUAAGUCAGACGUGAAAUCCCCCGGCUUAACCUGGGAACUGCGUCUGAUACUGGGAGGCUUGAGUAUGGGAGAGGGAUGUAGAAUUCCAGGUGUAGCGGUGAAAUGCGUAGAUAUCUGGAGGAAUACCGGUGGCGAAAGCGGCAUCCUGGACCAUUACUGACGCUUAAGCGCGAAAGCUAGGGGAGCAAACGGG
rnacentral:rRNA from 1 species